rnacentral:rRNA from 1 species
AUGCUACCCCAACAACAACAACUCCUCCAACGUCGCGAAGACCGACGAGGCACGACGGCGAGGGCGAGCGUGGGCAUCGCAAAGGCUAGCUACACGCGGCGCGUGUACCGACGAGGACACGGGCUCUGCCACCGCCCACACACACACACAUCACCAUCAUUCAUGCAUGGAGAACACGAAGCAAAGAUGACGAAGACGACCACACAGCUCAAUCGAAGGUAUCUCGCGGAGCAACCCGCGGGAGUAAUUAACCGGGAGUCUUCCGAGGCCUCGGAAACCAGGAGAUCAUACAAUCGCUAUAGUCAGCCCGGCCGCGCUAGUAGGCCAUGGAGUGCACAUUUUUAUUAUGGGAUCUUGUAA